CGUGGGACGGCAGCCUUAUCUGGAUCGGGUUUCGCUGGCUAACGUGUUGUGCGCGCGAGCAAAUUCUUCAAUUCGUUGUCGACGAAACCUGCACGGAGUAAGGCACGGAGCACCA
rnacentral:pre_miRNA from 1 species